rnacentral:misc_RNA from 1 species
CGUAUCGCAACCACGCCCACAGUCACAAGCGAAACGAAAAGAGGGUAGCAGCAUCAUUCCUCUUCGAUCGCUUCUUGCACCAAUCAUUGACCUACGUGACACCCCCCUCCACACCUGCAUUCACAGCUGCGAGAACGUGCUUCUCGAGCACCCAAAUACCUUCUUGGACGCAUACGGACGCACAUCGGCAUCAUGCUCGGCUCUGGCAAAUCGAGCGGUGUGGUGAACGAGGCCAGCAACCUCAAGGCCAAUGAGAACCUUACCGCCACCAUAGAGCAGAUGAAUUCGAAGGCGUACCGCCAGAGCCGUGACAUGAACGACGUCAUUCCGACACACCGCCGCCCGGUCACUGAAGCUGUCCGCGACAAUGGCGUCCCCGUGUACGACCCAGCUGCGGAGAAGCACGCGGAAAAGGUCGAGCGCGGCAAUGCGGCGGGCGCCGAGGACGACGACGAUGAGCUGAUGGAGUUGCGCCGGAUGCGCCUGCAGUGCAUGCGGGCCAACCAAGAGAAGCAGGCAGAGUGGCGCAGCAAACAGCACGGAGAGUACCGUGAAAUCUCACAAGACGACUUCUUCAACAUCGUCGUGCGUGAGAAGGGUGGGAGCGAACGGGUAUGCGUGCACUUCUACCACAAGGACUUCGAAACGUGCAAGGUGAUGGACCGUCGCCUGUCGGAGCUGUCGCGCACCCUGCUAGCCGUGAAGUUUGUGAAGAUCGACGCCGAGCGCUCGCCCUUCCUGGUCGAGCGGCUGCGCGUGACGACGCUGCCGCACUGCUUGCUCUUCUUUAACGACGUGUGCAUUGAUCGCAUCGUCGGCUUUCAGGGGUGCGUGACGGAGGACGGCACCCUCGACGCGAACUUGUUGCGGGAGCGCAUCGUCCAUGCACUCAAGCUCAAGGGCGACGAAUAGGUACAAGAGUCGAACCGGCGACGGCCCAGGUGAGCACACACACACACACACAUAAGGCGCUGAGGGAAAGCUAGAAGAGACAGGAGCUGACGUCAGAGGAGAAGGGUGCGGGCAGCGGUUCGGCUGCUGUUGUGCACCUCGCCGUGAUCCACGCGAUGUUCUUUCAUCGACGAGGAAGAGAUUAUGUCGAUGUGUGUGUGUGUGCCCGAUCUCCUCCACCAUCCCUGCCCUUCCUGCCUCCCUUAAGCCACGCGAGCCUGUGCUUGUGUGGCUGCUGACGUAACAUGGACCCGACAGGUUGCCGCCGCUGCUGCACCUCCGGCUCGAGACAGCUGCGCUUGUGGAGAUGGUUGCACACGGGCUCGCUAUUUGUGAGUGCGUGUGUGUGCGCACGGGCGCACUUGUCUGACGCGUACAACAUGUCAGUGGGGAGGAAGCAUUGAGGCGCGCAUGCGCCGCUAAAACCAACACGUGAGCAAGAAGACAACGAUAGAGGAGGAUAGGCGAGGGGCGGUGCGCUGGACGGCGCGAGACCCCUCUUUCUCUACCGAUCACUCGACACCCUCUUAUCAGCUGCUCGCACUUGCGCAUACUUGGGUGUAGAGAGCCAGAGAAAAAGGGCGUGCACGACUCGCCGUCUCCCUCGCCACUCUAUGUACCUUGGGUCACCUUCGGCAACCCCACGCAUCUGUAU